UAAAUAAAACAGACAACACCCAGUCUGACAUCCUUUUUUUUUUUUUUUUUUUAAAUGAGUUGCUGUUAUAGCACAAAGGUAUAGAUAUAAAGUUUAUGUAAUAGAUAAGAAGACAAAAAUAAAUUAAAAGAACAUCAAGAGCAGGUCCUGGUUUAUGGAAUCCGCUCGCUAUUGUUAUCGCUCUUUUAAUCUCUCUCGUAAUUUCUCUCUCUCUCUCUCACUGCCGUCACUUCCAAAAUUUUCAGGGGUUCCUAAACAACCAAAUAUCACGUCAAUAUCACAUAUCAUGUCCUUAGAAAAUGCAGUUUUUUACAGUUUCUUCACACACUGAACGUGACGAUAGUAUUCAGAUCAAAGUAUCCCGCUUUUUGUUUUUUAAUCAAAACUCUGGUUUUAGUGGCCUAUCAGUAAAAUUUUAAAGCUGGCACAUAAUUUGAAAUCGGAACUUUCAACAACAACGGAAUUGAAAUGGAGACUCAGCAUUGCUACAGCUUGUUGCUAUUUAAGUGUGCUGUAGCAAAAGGAUUUAAUCAGGUGUGUCCUUAAAUAUUGCCUAUUAGUGUUUCCUCUUAUAUUAAGAUCUGAAUGUUUUCUAAGAAUUACAAUUUCCCAGCAGUUACGCAAAUGAGAUUAAAUCAUCACUUGCAACUGUGUAUAAAAAGCUCCGCUGUCAGUACUGCAUUAUCACAAUCAUCCACAUCUCUGAGACAGUCUGCUGAAGUUGUGAAGACCUGAUGGUGAAAUAACUGAAACCAUGAUCAAGGUUGUGUUUCUGCUUGGAUGCCUGCUGAGCCUUGCUCUGGCAAAUCCUAAUGACUCAGCACACGAGCGCGAUGCACGUUCUUCAUCUGGGUAGGGGACUAUUGGGACCCUAAAUCGUCUUACCCUGCUUUUACCUCUUCUACAGAAUCCAACACUUCUGCAGAAUUCAACACUCCUUGCAGCUAUUCUUGCUGCUAUACGAUAAGCUGCUUCUUAACCAACAGCUAUUACACCACAAAGGAUGAAUUGAAAAUGAACAAACAAUGAAUAAAAACCU